ACGAACGCUGGCGGCGUGCUUCACACAUGCAAGUCGAACGGAAAGGCCCUGCUUUUGUGGGGUGCUCGAGUGGCGAACGGGUGAGUAACACGUGAGUAACCUGCCCUUGACUUUGGGAUAACUUCAGGAAACUGGGGCUAAUACCGGAUAGGAGCUCCUGCUGCAUGGUGGGGGUUGGAAAGUUUCGGCGGUUGGGGAUGGACUCGCGGCUUAUCAGCUUGUUGGUGGGGUAGUGGCUUACCAAGGCUUUGACGGGUAGCCGGCCUGAGAGGGUGACCGGCCACAUUGGGACUGAGAUACGGCCCAGACUCCUACGGGAGGCAGCAGUGGGGAAUAUUGCACAAUGGGCGGAAGCCUGAUGCAGCAACGCCGCGUGCGGGAUGACGGCCUUCGGGUUGUAAACCGCUUUCGCCUGUGACGAAGCGUGAGUGACGGUAAUGGGUAAAGAAGCACCGGCUAACUACGUGC
rnacentral:rRNA from 1 species